UUCCAGAUGAUUCCUCCCCCCACCCC
rnacentral:piRNA from 1 species